AGAGUUUGAUCAUGGCUCAGGAUGAACGCUGACAGAAUGCUUAACACAUGCAAGUCUACUUGAUCCUUCGGGUGAUGGUGGCGGACGGGUGAGUAACGCGUAAAGAACUUGCCCUGCAGUCUGGGACAACAUUUGGAAACGAAUGCUAAUACCGGAUAUUAUGUGAGUUUCGCAUGAAAUUCAUAUGAAAGCUAUAUGCGCUGCAGGAGAGCUUUGCGUCCUAUUAGCUAGUUGGUGAGGUAACGGCUCACCAAGGCGAUGAUAGGUAGCCGGCCUGAGAGGGUGAACGGCCACAAGGGGACUGAGACACGGCCCUUACUCCUACGGGAGGCAGCAGUGGGGAAUAUUGGACAAUGGACCAAAAGUCUGAUCCAGCAAUUCUGUGUGCACGAUGAAGUUUUUCGGAAUGUAAAGUGCUUUCAGUUGGGACGAAGUAAGUGACGGUACCAACAGAAGAAGCGACGGCUAAAUACGUGCCAGCAGCCGCGGUAAUACGUAUGUCGCAAGCGUUAUCCGGAUUUAUUGGGCGUAAAGCGCGUCUAGGCGGUUUGGUAAGUCUGAUGUGAAAAUGCGGGGCUCAACUCCGUAUUGCGUUGGAAACUGCCAAACUAGAGUACUGGAGAGGUGGGCGGAACUACAAGUGUAGAGGUGAAAUUCGUAGAUAUUUGUAGGAAUGCCGAUGGGGAAGCCAGCCCACUGGACAGAUACUGACGCUAAAGCGCGAAAGCGUGGGUAGCAAACAGGAUUAGAUACCCUGGUAGUCCACGCCGUAAACGAUGAUUACUAGGUGUUGGGGGUCGAACCUCAGCGCCCAAGCUAACGCGAUAAGUAAUCCGCCUGGGGAGUACGUACGCAAGUAUGAAACUCAAAGGAAUUGACGGGGACCCGCACAAGCGGAGGAACAUGUGGUUUAAUUCGAUGAUACGCGAGGAACCUUACCCGGGCUUAAAUUGCAACAGAAUAUAUUGGAAACAGUAUAGCCGUAAGGCUGUUGUGAAGGUGCUGCAUGGUUGUCGUCAGCUCGUGCCGUGAGGUGUCGGCUUAAGUGCCAUAACGAGCGCAACCCUUAUCUUUAGUUACUAACAAGUGAUGCUGAGGACUCUAGAGAGACUGCCGU
rnacentral:rRNA from 1 species